AGAUGUCCAGAGUUUCAGGCUUAAAGAGUGAAUAAAAAAAAAAAUGCAUCAUUUCUCCACAGGGCCUAGCUAUUCCCAGAUGUUGGACAAAUGGAUUCAUUCAGGCAGCAAGUUAAUCCAUCAUUUAAGGAAAAUGAAUUCAUUUUAUCCACAAGAACAUGAGGUGAUGGAAGUAAUCUGCACCUGCCCAGCAUUCCUACAGUCUGUCACUGGAUUUGAAAAGAAAUGUUUAUUAAAUAAAUUUUCUAGUUGAAUAAUAAUUUGACUUUUUCAUAUAUUUACUGUACAGGUGUUGAAAAGGCCAUUAAGAUAUGAAAAUCUUAACUUUCUUACUAUUUUGUGUGGAGGGUACCAGUGAUCAUCAAGAUCUUAUUUCCAGCAUGUGCAUUGUGUUCAUUUAUCUUUCAAUAAUAUUACCAAAAACAGGAGACUAGAGAUCCCCCUAAUUGAUUCAAAAUAGGAUAGGGGACCACCAUUUG